rnacentral:rRNA from 1 species
CGUGGGGCAGCGCGGGUAGCAAUACCUGGCGGCGACCGGCAAACGGGUGCGGAACACGUACGCAACCUUCCUUUAAGUGAGGAAUAGCCCAGGGAAACUUGGAUUAUUACCUCGUAACAUUAUGAGAUGGCAUCAUCUUAUAAUUAUAGCUACGGCGCUUAAAGAUGGGCGUGCGGCUGAUUAGGUAGUUGGCGGGGUAAUAGCCCACCAAGCCUACGAUCAGUAACUGGUGUGAGAGCACGACCAGUCACACGGGCACUGAGACACGGGCCCGACUCCUACGGGAGGCAGCAGUAAGGAAUAUUGGUCAAUGGACGCAAGUCUGAACCAGCCAUGCCGCGUGGAGGAUGAAGGCCCUCUGGGUUGUAAACUUCUUUUAUCUGGGAAGAAACCCAUCUUUUCUAAGGUGGUUGACGGUACCAGAUGAAUAAGCACCGGCUAACUCCGUGCCAGCAGCCGCGGUAAUACGGAGGGUGCAAGCGUUAUCUGGAUUCACUGAGUUUAAAGGGUGCGUAGGUGGGCAGGUAAGUCAGUGGUGAAAUCUCUGGGCUUAACCCAGAAACUGCCGUUGAUACUAUCUGUCUUGAAUAUAGUGGAGGUGAGCGGAAUAUGUCAUGUAGCGGUGAAAUGCUUAGAUAUGACAUAGAACACCCAUUGCGAAGGCAGCUCGCUACACUAUUAUUGACACUGAGGCACGAAAGCGUGGGGAUCAAACAGGAUUAGAUACCCUGGUAGUCCACGCCCUAAACGAUGGAUACUCGACAUCAGCGAUACACUGUUGGUGUCU